UUUCUGAGACACAAUUUAUAUAUGUAUUACAGGUAUUAAAAAAAUAUAUAAUUAAUUUAGAAACGUUACACUCUCUUCUCUACAUGAGAAUGUAUUGUAUGAAAUCUGUUCAUAAAUUAUAAGUGUAACGGAAUCAUCUUUUUUCUCAUUGACAAUUUCAAAGUCUGAAAAUAGCACAAACGCGUGACAGAAUAUUCCCAAGAUCGCGAUGUUUUCACAUAGAAAGAUACUUUUUUGCUCUUUUCCUCAUGUUUAAUCACCAGUUAGCCGGGCGGCCCUUACACGACAAGUCAACAAAUAGAUGUCGCGUAUUUGUACAAGACCUUUACGUUUUUACAGGACCCUUCCAGCACAUAGUCUACAACUACGGAGAACAGUUAGGUUUUUAUUACGAAGAACAGUUUUUACCGGUUUGAAGUGCGACAUCUCUGCAAAAAAUUUAUCUUAGAAAUUGAAAGACUGCUGUGAUGACCAGAAAAGAGAAUACGCACGGUGACGAAGAAGAAGAAGAACCGGCGGGAUCAAGAUUUACGAGUGUACAGAGACAUUUAACACCUUCGUGGAAGAUAGUUAGACCAACGGUGCUGAUAAAUGGGCUUCUAACAGUAUGGCGGAUAGUAGCCGGAAAGGGAGAAACAACGCAAUGGCGGAUUUAAUCUUAUCCCAAAACAUUUGGAAUUUCUACUAAAAAUUGCCAUGUAAGUCGUAUAACAAUUUUAUCAUUUAAUAUAAAACGGCAAAUCUGAAAUAUUUCCAUGUAUUACAAUAAGUAAAUUGACACUCAAAAGAGAAUGGUAAGAAUUACAAGAAAUUUUCAGUAGAAUGACAAAGUGCUAAAAUUUUGCGUAGAAUUGAGCGCCAGAAAAAAGUAGAAUACAAGAUUUGAUUAACGUGCGAUUUUUACAUGGCUAAGUAUUUAAUAUUUCGCCAGUAACACGCCAAAAACAGGGGGAUGCAACAACUGGGCCACUGAUGUGUGCCUCGCGUGUCGAAAAGCGUUAUCGCAGGCGCCUCGUAUAAUAUCCAAUAUUCGUCGAGGCCGAGAAAGAGGGUGCCCAUCUUACACCUCUCCCGGCAUUGUUCGCGAAAAUAGAAUUACGGUGAUAUAGCCACUCUCGCGAGAUAUUAGACAGGUGAGCGCGUUCCCAGGGGAACAAAGGCCCCAUUACCCUGUCUUACCACCUCGACCCGGGCGGACGUCCCGAAAGACCCUCCGCUCUUGAAACAUUCAUAAGAGCGUUGUAAGUGGUUUUUAAUAAACGUAUUUAAUCAUGAGUGUCGGAUUACGAAUUAAAUCGGUGGGCGCUGUCACCAAUCGGAGGGAUUAGUCAUGAAUCUAAACAGAUGUACAACGCGCUUUUUGCAGGUAUGCGGGUAUAUUGUCUUUCAAUUUUGAUAUCGGCAUGACAUUGUUUUAUUUUAUACCUUAAUUUUUUAAUGAUAAUUAGCAGGAAA